GGGCCCAUAGCUCAGUUUGGUUAGAGCUACCGGCUCAUAACCGGUUGGUCCUAGGUUCAAGUCCUAGUGGGCCCA
rnacentral:tRNA from 1 species